rnacentral:rRNA from 1 species
UACGAAGGACCCGAGCGUUAUCCGGAUUUAUUGGGUUUAAAGGGUGCGUAGGCGUCCUGGAAAGUUACGGUUGAAAUCUCCUUGCUCAACAAGGAAACUGGCCGUAAAACUAUCAGGAUUGAGUACAUUUGAAGCGGGCGGAAUGUGUCAUGUAGCGGUGAAAUGCAUAGAUAUGACACAGAACACCAAUUGCGAAGGCAGCUCGCUAAACUGUAACUGACGCUGAGGCACGAAAGCGUGGGGAUCAAACAGG